UAUGGUGGUUAUCGCAGUGUGGAUCACCUCUUCCCAUUCCGAACAGAGAAGUUAAGCACAUUAGCGCCGAUGGUACUGGUUAUUCCGGGAGAGUAGGUCGCCGCCAUUU
rnacentral:rRNA from 1 species